CGCCGACUCCAAGACUUUUGGGUUCUUUGGUAUCUUUCUACAAGGCACGACAAUCCACCAAAGCUCAAGUAAUCCUAAUCUUCUCCACCAUCCUUCUUCUCCAUCUUGCAACACACGACACCAGUUGCGUCCUAAUCGCGCGGUGGCUAUUGCACACGACAUCGUUCGCUGGGACCUAAUCACGCGGUGGUUGUCACGUUGCUGUUGACGCAGCCACCAUAACCUCAGCCGUCUUGGCCACUGUCGCGGCCAUCGCCGCUUUGGUCGCGUCUGGCACUAUGUGAUUCUUUGGCUGCCCGUCCAUGGACACAAUUCAGUAGUUCAAAUAAUAGCAGUCCACUACAAAUUUUUAGUAAGUCUCCUCGUGGGGGUGCAAUGAGUCCUGUUGGAAAUAACCAUGUGGUUGGAUUAGCAUCUGUACUUUCCCUAAUUUUAUCAACUUCUACUAAGAUUGCACCAAUUGGGAAGGACCAGAAAAAAGGCAUUCAAUGGGAAUAAAUUGGAGAAGUUCAACAGUGAGAAGGUUGAUUCUCUAGCAUAUGCCUGAAUCCAAGGCAGAGCAGCAUUUGUUGACCAUUUGCAGAACUCAAGCUUGAUGAACGAGGAUAAGAGAUGUCACCCUAUUCUUUUUUAUUAUGAGAGAAAAAGGUCGGUGAUCAGGAACUCAUUCAAUUAAGCAAUAUGCAUGCUCCUUAAGAAGGUGGGAAAGGUGGGGAGUCACCUGAAAAUC